CCCCGCUGCCCAGGAGUUGAUCAUCUUUAGUUCUCAGAAAGAGAGGUGAAGUUAUUGGUGCGUACUUUCUCAUCUGAGUAGUCUACAAACCGCAGGUUCUAGCUGAAACAACGUCUCUGAUAUUCUCAGAGACAUAAAAGGACAUGGAUAUGAAGCCUCUGAUGAUUCUCCUCCUGCUAGCAGUUGCAGCAAACUUG